UGCGGAGAUCAAGGCAUUGCAUAUGCGGAGAUCAAGGCAUUGAGAGAAGGCAGAAAGUUAUGUUGCACGGGAAUACGCUUGCACUGGUAUGUUGAAUGAGAAGAGUGAUAUUUAUAGCUUUGGAAUACUUAUAAUGGAGAUAAUUUCUGGAAGAAACCCUGUUGAUUAUAGUCGACCAAAGGGAGAGGUGAACUUGGUUGAUUGGUUGAAGACAAUGGUUGGAAAUCGAAAAUCUGAGUAGGUGACAUUCUAUUUGAUUAGACAAAAUUGGAGCUGGAAGGCUCUGAUCGUGCCUACUUUCUUGAAGGAGAAAAGCAAUCUCUUCACCAAGACUAAGUUCCUUUGCAGAGUGGCUGAUGUUCUCUCUAAUUAUC